UAAGAAACCUACCCGUCCUUGCCUUU
rnacentral:piRNA from 1 species